rnacentral:rRNA from 1 species
GACGAACGCUGGCGGCGUGCUUAACACAUGCAAGUCGAACGGUAAGGCCCUUCGGGGUACACGAGUGGCGAACGGGUGAGUAACACGUGGGUGAUCUGCCCUGCACUUCGGGAUAAGCCUGGGAAACUGGGUCUAAUACCGGAUAUGACCAUGCGCUUCACGGUGUGUGGUGGAAAGCUUUUGCGGUGUGGGAUGGGCCCGCGGCCUAUCAGCUUGUUGGUGGGGUAAUGGCCUACCAAGGCGACGACGGGUAGCCGGCCUGAGAGGGUGUCCGGCCACACUGGGACUGAGAUACGGCCCAGACUCCUACGGGAGGCUG